GUCAGGAUUGCCGAGCGGUCUGGCCCAGGCGCUAAGUGUCGAGUCUCCUCUGGGGGGUGGGUUCAAAUCCCACUUCUGACA